GUGGUGAAUGCCUUGGCGAUUACAGGCGACGAAAGACGUGUAAGCCUGCGAAAAGCUACGGGGAGCUGGCAAUAGAGCAUUGAUCCGUAGAUAUCUGAAUGGGGAAACCCGGCCCGCAAGGGUCACUCCUGGCUGAAUAUAUAGGUCAGGUAGAGCGAACCCGGUGAACUGAAACAUCUAAGUAGCCGGAGGAAAAGAAAUCAACCGAGAUUCCGAAAGUAGUGGCGAGCGAAAUUGGAACAGCCUUCAAUCUUUAGCUUCUGAAUUAGCGGAACAGUCUGGAAAGUCUGACCGCAGUGGGUGAUAGUCCCGUACGCGAAAAUUCAGGAGUGGAACUAGGGUUGAAACAAGUAGGGCGGGACACGAGAAAUCCUGUCUGAACAUGGGGGGACCAUCCUCCAAGGCUAAAUACUCGUAAUCGU
rnacentral:rRNA from 1 species